rnacentral:rRNA from 1 species
GUGGGGGAUAUUGCACAAUGGGGGAAACCCUGAUGCAGCGACGCCGCGUGAGUGAAGAAGUAUUUCGGUAUGUAAAGCUCUAUCAGCAGGGAAGAAAAAAGACGGUACCUGACUAAGAAGCCCCGGCUAACUACGUGCCAGCAGCCGCGGUAAUACGUAGGGGGCAAGCGUUAUCCGGAUUUACUGGGUGUAAAGGGAGCGUAGACGGCAAUACAAGUCGGAAGUGAAAUACCCGGGCUCAACCUGGGAACUGCUUUGGAAACUGUAUGGCUAGAGUGCUGGAGAGGUAAGCGGAAUUCCUAGUGUAGCGGUGAAAUGCGUAGAUAUUAGGAGGAACACCAGUGGCGAAGGCGGCUUACUGGACAGUAACUGACGUUGAGGCUCGAAAGCGUGGGGAGCAAACAGG